GAUGAACGCUAGCGAUAGGCUUAACGCAUGCAAGUCGAGGGGCAGCACAAGGUAGCUUGCUAUCUGGGUGGCGACCGGCGCACGGGUGCGUAACGCGUAUGCAACUUGCCCUAUACAGGAGGAUAACCCGUCGAAAGACGGACUAAUACUGCGUAUGCUCACAACUUGGCAUCAAGUGGUGAGGAAAGAAAUUCGGUAUAGGAUAGGCAUGCGUCCCAUUAGCUUGUUGGUGAGGUAACGGCUCACCAAGGCAACGAUGGGUAGGGGAACUGAGAGGUUUAUCCCCCACACUGGUACUGAGACACGGACCAGACUCCUACGGGAGGCAGCAGUGAGGAAUAUUGGUCAAUGGGCGCGAGCCUGAACCAGCCAAGUCGCGUGAAGGAUGACUGUCUUAUGGAUUGUAAACUUCUUUUAUACGGGAAUAACAAGAGUCACGUGUGACUCCCUGCAUGUACCGUAUGAAUAAGCAUCGGCUAACUCCGU
rnacentral:rRNA from 1 species